GCAAGUCGAGCGAAGCAGUUAAGAAGAUUCUUCGGAUGAAACUUGAUUGACUGAGCGGCGGACGGGUGAGUAACGCGUGGGUGACCUGCCCCAUACCGGGGGAUAACAGCUGGAAACGGCUGCUAAUACCGCAUAAGCGCACAGAGCUGCAUGGCUCAGUGUGAAAAACUCCGGUGGUAUGGGAUGGGCCCGCGUCUGAUUAGGCAGUUGGCGGGGUAACGGCCCACCAAACCGACGAUCAGUAGCCGGCCUGAGAGGGCGACC
rnacentral:rRNA from 1 species